ACUUUGAUUAUGGCUCGGAUUGAACGCUGGCGGCAGGCCUAACACAUGCAAGUCGAGCGGAAACGGCAACAUUGACUCUUCGGAUGAUUUGUUGGACGUCGAGCGGCGGACGGGUGAGUAAUGCUUAGGAAUUUGCCCAGUCGAGGGGGAUAACUAUUGGAAACGAUAGCUAAUACCGCAUACGCCCUACGGGGGAAAAGAGGGGACCUUCGGGCCUUCUGCGAUUGGAUAAGCCUAAGUGAGAUUAGCUAGUUGGUGAGGUAAUGGCUCACCAAGGCGACGAUCUCUAGCUGGUCUGAGAGGAUGAUCAGCCACACUGGAACUGAGACACGGUCCAGACUCCUACGGGAGGCAGCAGUGGGGAAUAUUGCACAAUGGGCGCAAGCCUGAUGCAGCCAUGCCGCGUGUGUGAAGAAAACCUUCGGGUUGUAAAGCACUUUCAGCAGUGAGGAAGGUGGUAGUGUUAAUAGCACUAUUAUUUGACGUUAGCUGCAAAAAAGCCCCGGCUAACUCCGUGCC
rnacentral:rRNA from 1 species